rnacentral:rRNA from 1 species
AUACGGAGGGUGCAAGCGUUAAUCGGAAUUACUGGGCGUAAAGCGCGCGUAGGCGGUUUGUUAAGCGAGAUGUGAAAGCCCCGGGCUCAACCUGGGAACUGCAUUUCGAACUGGCAGGCUAGAGUACAAGAGAGGGUGGUAGAAUUUCCUGUGUAGCGGUGAAAUGCGUAGAUAUAGGAAGGAAUACCAGUGGCGAAGGCGGCCACCUGGCUUGAUACUGACGCUGAGGUGCGAAAGCGUGGGGAGCGAACAGGAUUAGAAACCCCAGUAGUCC